UGUGUAGGCGGUUCUUUAAGUUUGGUGUGAAAUCUCCCGGCUCAACUGGGAGGGUGCGCCGAAUACUGAGGGACUAGAGUACGGGAGAGGAAAGUGGAAUUCCUGGUGUAGCGGUGAAAUGCGUAGAUAUCAGGAGGAACACCGGUGGUGUAGACGGCUUUCUGGACCGACACUGACGCUGAAACACGAAAGCGUGGGUAGCAAACAGGAUUAGAUACCCUGGUAGUCCACGCCCUAAACGAUGCAUAUUUGGUGUGGGCAGUUCAUUCUGUCCGUGCCGGAGCUAACGCGUUAAAUAUGCCGCCUGGGGAGUACAGUCGCAAGGCUGAA
rnacentral:rRNA from 1 species